rnacentral:rRNA from 1 species
GAUGAACGCUGACAGAAUGCUUAACACAUGCAAGUCAACUUGAACUUCGGUUUGGGUGGCGGACGGGUGAGUAACGCGUAAAGAACUUGCCUCACAGCUAGGGACAACAUUUGGAAACGAAUGCUAAUACCUGAUAUUAUGAUUUUAGGGCAUCCUAGAAUUAUGAAAGCUAUAUGCGCUGUGAGAGAGCUUUGCGUCCCAUUAGCUAGUUGGAGAGGUAACGGCUCACCAAGGCGAUGAUGGGUAGCCGGCCUGAGAGGGUGAACGGCCACAAGGGGACUGAGACACGGCCCUUACUCCUACGGGAGGCAGAAGUGGGGAAUAUUGGACAAUGGACCAAGAGUCUGAUCCAGCAAUUCUGUGUGCACGAUGAAGUUUUUCGGAAUGUAAAGUGCUUUCAGUUGGGAAGAAAAAAAUGACGGUACCAACAGAAGAAGUGACGGCUAAAUACGUG